ensembl:lncRNA
AGAGAGAAGAGAGGGAGGGAGUGAAACAGAGAAAGAGAAGAGAGAGAAGAGAGAGAGAGGGAGUGAAACAGAGAAAGAGAAGAGAGAGAGAGGGAGUGAAACAGAGAAAGAGAAGAGAGAGAAGAGAGAGAAGAGAGAGAAGAGGGAGGGAGUGAAACAGAGAAAGAGAAGAGAGAGAAGAGAGAGAAGAGGGAGGGAGUGAAACAGAGAGAGAAGAGAGAGAAGAGAGAGAGAGGGAAGGGAGUGAAACAGAGAAAGAGAAGAGAGAGAAGAGAGAGAAGAGAGAGAGAGGGAGUGAAACAGAGAAAGAGAAGAGAGAGAGAGGGAGUGAAACAGAGAAAGAGAAGAGAGAGAGAGGGGGUGAAACAGAGAAAGAAGAGAGAGAAGAGAGAGAAGAGAGAGAAGAGAGAGAAGAGAGAGA